GCCGCACCAGACGCCAUUCUCCUCAGAUUGUAAUCGCCAUUAACUGAUGCUGGCGUUUCAAGUUUAUUUCGCUUUUGCGGCUCCUUCUUCUUUGUUUCGUGGCUUGUUUUGGUUUCGAACCGGGUUGUGCUGGUGACUGAGAUAUCGGGAGCUGGCUAGAGAUUAUCGCCGCCGCAAGCAAGUCCAGUGUGUGCGGUUUAUGAGUGAUUCGUAGAAAGCGCAGGACAGAGAGCGAUGCGUGAAAGAAAGGCAGAUGUUGAGCAAAUGGCGAGCCUGUACACAGAUGUAACGUAAUUUUUGUCUUGGCUGUUCGAAUUGAUCUUUUGCUUUGUUUGUGUUCACUUUUACGCAGGCGUAGUCGCAAAGGAAGAAGACAGCCUGGAUGCCGAAACGACGUGGCUUCCCGCGAGGUUCUAGUGCAUUUCAACAAUUAGAACGUGCACAGCUAAAAGUAAAUUCCCACGGCAUGAAGAAGGAACUCCUUCAGUCUCAGGUCUCUCAACGGAUUAACAAGGAAAUAGCAGUACCGCACCAAGGGCCAGGCCAAGUUCACGCAACAGAUAACUCGCGGCCCUGCUCCUUUUGAAGGCGACAACACUGAAGCAGAGAAGAAAGAAACACGGAAAAGAAGGAAGAAAGAGGAAAACCGGGAUACGUGCUUAUUGUGCGGGGGGCGUCACGGUGACACUGCCCUAGGCUGAAGUUGCUCCCGGGACGGCUCUGUUUGAGGUCCUGUCAAGUGCAGUGGAUGUCUUCGAACGUGGGCAGGAAUGGUGUGUGCCCGUAAGGGACAAUGAUAGAACAAGAGAAAGCUGCAGCUGACACAAGA